UACGUAGGCAGCAAGCGUUGUUCGGAAUUACUGGGCGUAAAGAGCGCGCAGGCGGUCGUUCAAGUCGCGUGUGAAAGCCCCCGGCUCAACUGGGGAGGGUCACGCGAUACUGAUCGACUCGAAGGCAGGAGAGGGAAGUGGAAUUCCCGGUGUAGUGGUGAAAUGCGUAGAUAUCGGGAGGAACACCAGUGGCGAAGGCAGGUCUCUGGGCCACUACUGACGCUGAGGAGCGAAAGCAUGGGGAGCGAACAGG
rnacentral:rRNA from 1 species